UUCNGUAGGUGAACCUGCGGAAGGAUCAUUGU
rnacentral:rRNA from 1 species